rnacentral:rRNA from 1 species
GAUGAACGCUGGCGGCGUGCCUAACACAUGCAAGUCGAGCGAGGGUUUGCUCAGUAUUGAGUAUUCUAAGACUAGAAUGUUCAAUUCUGAGCAAAACCAAGCGGCGGACGGGUGAGUAACGCGUGGGUAACCUGCCCUAUACACAUGGAUAACAUACUGAAAAGUUUACUAAUACAUGAUAAUAUAUAUUUGCGGCAUCGCAGAUAUAUCAAAGUGUUAGCGGUAUAGGAUGGACCCGCGUCUGAUUAGCUAGUUGGUGAGAUAACUGCCCACCAAGGCGACGAUCAGUAGCCGACCUGAGAGGGUGAUCGGCCACAUUGGAACUGAGACACGGUCCAAACUCCUACGGGAGGCAGCAGUGGGGAAUAUUGCACAAUGGGCGAAAGCCUGAUGCAGCAACGCCGCGUGAACGAUGAAGGUCUUCGGAUCGUAAAGUUCUGUUGCAGGGGAAGAUAAUGACGGACCCUGGAGAAGCCCCG